rnacentral:rRNA from 1 species
UCCGUAGGUGAACCUGCGGAAGGAUCAUUAUCGAGUUCUGGGUCUUUCAGGCCCUUACUCCCACCCUUUGUGUACCUUACCAUUUAUUCAGUUGCCUUGGUGGGAUGUGCUGCCUUCUUUCCUCACCGACGAAGCGGCUCACCACCAAGGGAACACCCCCUAAACUCUUUAUGAAUCGAGUCGUCUGAGAAAAAAUUCAAAUGAAUUAAAACUUUCAACAACGGAUCUCUUGGUUCUGGCAUCGAUGAAGAACGCAGCGAAAUGCGAUAAGUAAUGUGAAUUGCAGAAUUCAGUGAAUCAUCGAAUCUUUGAACGCACAUUGCGCCCUUUGGUAUUCCGAGGGGCAUGCCUGUUCGAGCGUCAUUUCAACCCUCAAGCCUCGGCUUGGUAUUGGGCUCUCGUCCUGGACUUCUGUCAGGGCGUGCCCGAAACUCAUAGGCGGUUGUGCUCAGCUCCCUAGCGUAGUCAUAUAACAUCGCUCCGGAGGUCUGGGUACGGCCCGCCCGAAAAACCAUUUUUUCAAUCUAGUUUUGACCUCGGAUCAGGUAGGGAUACCCGCUGAACUUAAGCAUAUCAAUAAGCGGAGGA